AGUGAACGCUGGCGGUAGGCCUAACACAUGCGAGUCGAACGGCAGCACAGUAAGAGCUUGCUCUUACGGGUGGCGAGUGGCGGACGGGUGAGGAAUACAUCGGAAUCUAGUUUUUCGUGGGGGAUAACGUAGGGAAACUUACGCUAAUACCGCAUACGACCUACGGGUGAAAGCAGGGGAUCUUCGGACCUUGCGCGAUUGAAUGAGCCGAUGUCGGAUUAGCUAGUUGGCGGGGUAAAGGCCCACCAAGGCGACGAUCCGUAGCUGGUCUGAGAGGAUGAUCAGCCACACUGGAACUGAGACACGGUCCAGACUCCUACGGGAGGCAGCAGUGGGGAAUAUUGGACAAUGGGCGCAAGCCUGAUCCAGCCAUACCGCGUGGGUGAAGAAGGCCUUCGGGUUGUAAAGCCCUUUUGUUGGGAAAGAAAAGCAGCAGGUUAAUACCCCGCUGUUCUGACGGUACCCAAAGAAUAAGCACCGGCUAACUUCGUG
rnacentral:rRNA from 1 species